rnacentral:rRNA from 1 species
UACGUAGGGUGCAAGCGUUGUCCGGAAUUAUUGGGCGUAAAGAGCUCGUAGGCGGUUUGUCGCGUCUGCUGUGAAAACUCGGGGCUCAACUCCGAGCUUGCAGUGGGUACGGGCAGACUAGAGUGCGGUAGGGGAGACUGGAAUUCCUGGUGUAGCGGUGGAAUGCGCAGAUAUCAGGAGGAACACCGGUGGCGAAGGCGGGUCUCUGGGCCAUAACUGACGCUGAGGAGCGAAAGCGUGGGGAGCAAACAGG